rnacentral:tRNA from 1 species
GUUCCUGUGGCCUAAUGGAUAAGGCGUUGGACUCCGAAUUAAAAGAUUGUGGAUUCACGUCCCACCAGGAACA